rnacentral:rRNA from 1 species
AACGAACGCUGGCGGCAUGCCUAACACAUGCAAGUCGAACGAGACCUUCGGGUCUAGUGGCGCACGGGUUCGUAACGCGUGGGAACCUGCCCUUAGGUUCGGAAUAACUCCCCGAAAGGGGUGCUAAUACCGGAUAAUGUCUUCGGACCAAAGAUUUAUCGCCUUUGGAUGGACCCGCGUUGGAUUAGCUAUUUGUUAGGGUAAAAGCCUACCAAGGCGACGAUCCAUAGCUGGUCUGAGAGGAUGAUCAGCCACACUGGGACUGAGACACGGCCCAGACUCCUACGGGAGGCAGCAGUGGGGAAUAGUGGACAAUGGGCGAAAGCCUGAUCCAGCAAUGACGCGUGAGUGAUGAAGGCAUUAGGGUUGUAAAGCUCUUUUAACCGGGAUGAUAAUGACAGUACCGGGAGAAUAAGCUACGGCUAACUCCGUG